GAUGAACGCUGGCGGCGUGCCUAAUACAUGCAAGUCGAGCGAACGGACGCGAAGCUUGCUUCUCUGAUGUUAGCGGCGGACGGGUGUGUAACACGUGUAUAACCCACCUAUAAGACUGGGAUCACUUCGGGAAACCGGCGCUAAUACCGGAUAAUCUUUUGAACCGCAUGGUUCAAAAGUAAAAGUCGGUCUUUCUGUCACUUAUCGAUGGAUCCGGGCUGCUUUAGCUAGUUGGUAAGGUAACGGCUUACCAAGGGAACUAUGCAUAGCCGACCUGAGUGGCGGGUCGGCCACAUGAGAGCGUAGACGCGGACCAUACGACUAAGGGACGCAGCAGUAGGGUACGUUACGCAAUGGGCGAAAGCCUGACAGAGCGACGCCGAGUGAGAGGUGAAGACGUUCGGAUCGUAAUACUGGGUUAUUGGGGAAAAACAGAUGUGGAAGUAAAUGUGGACAGCGUGACGGUACCGAAUCAGAAAGCCACGGCUAACUACGUG
rnacentral:rRNA from 1 species